UACGGAGGGUGCAAGCGUUAAUCGGAAUUAUUGGGCGUAAAGGGCUCGUAGGCGGUUUGUCGCGUCGGGAGUGAAAUCCACUGGCUUAACUGGUGGCUUGCUUUUCGAUACGGGCAGACUGGAGGUAUGCAGGGGAGAACGGAAUUCCUGGUGUAGCGGUGAAAUGCGCAGAUAUCAGGAGGAACACCUAUGGCGAAGGCAGCUCGCUGGGACGUUACUGACGCUGAGACGCGAAAGCGUGGGGAGCAAACAGG
rnacentral:rRNA from 1 species